rnacentral:rRNA from 1 species
UUGGAGGGCAAGUCUGGUGCCAGCAGCCGCGGUAAUUCCAGCUCCAAUAGCGUAUAUUAAAGUUGUUGCAGUUAAAAAGCUCGUAGUUGAAUUUCGGGGUUAGUAGGCUGGUCAUGCCACCGGUAUGUACUGGUCUUACUGAUUCCUCCCUCUUGAUGAGCCGUAAUGCCAUUAAUUUGGUGUUGCGGGGAAUCAGGACUGUUACUUUGAAAAAAUUAGAGUGUUUAAAGCAGGCAAGCGCUUGAAUACAUUAGCAUGGAAUAAUGAAAUAGGACGUUUAAUCCUAUUUUGUUGGUUUCUAGGAUUGACGUAAUGAUUAAUAGGGAUAGUUGGGGGCAUUAGUAUUCAAUUGUCAGAGGUGAAAUUCUUGGAUUUAUUGAUGACUAACUACUGCGAAAGCAUUUGCCAAGGGUGUUUUCAUUAAUCAAGAACGAAAGUUAGGGGAUCGAAGACGAUCAGAUACCGUCGUAGUCUUAACCAUAAACUAUGCCGACUAGGGAUCGGAUGAUGUUAAUUUUUUAAUGACUCAUUCGGCGCCUUACGGGAAAC